GAUGAACGCUAGCUACAGGCUUAACACAUGCAAGUCGAGGGGCAGCGGGAUUGAAGCUUGCUUCAAUUGCCGGCGACCGGCGCACGGGUGAGUAACGCGUAUCCAACCUUCCGUACACUCAGGGAUAGCCUUUCGAAAGAAAGAUUAAUACCUGAUGGUAUGAUGAGAUUGCAUGAUAGCAUCAUUAAAGAUUUAUCGGUGUACGAUGGGGAUGCGUUCCAUUAGGUAGUAGGCGGGGUAACGGCCCACCUAGCCUACGAUGGAUAGGGGUUCUGAGAGGAAGGCCCCCCCACAUUGGAACUGAGACACGGUCCAAACUCCUACGGGAGGCAGCAGUGAGGAAUAUUGGUCAAUGGGACGAGAGUCUGAACCAGCCAAGUAGCGUGAAGGAUGAAGGUCUUACGGAUUGUAAACUUCUUUUAUAAGGGAAUAAACCCUCCCACGUGUGGGAGCUUGUAUGUACCUUAUGAAUAAGCAUCGGCUAACUCCGUGCCAGCA
rnacentral:rRNA from 1 species